rnacentral:rRNA from 1 species
UACGAAGGGGGCUAGCGUUGCUCGGAAUCACUGGGCGUAAAGGGCGCGCAGGCGGCUGCUCAAGUCAGGCGUGAAAGGCCUGGGCUCAACCCGGGAAUUGCGCUUGAGACUGGGCUGGCUUGAGUGCGGGAGAGGAUGGUGGAAUUCCCAGUGUAGAGGUGAAAUUCGUAGAUAUUGGGAAGACACCGGUGGCGAAGGCGGCCAUCUGGACCGCAACUGACGCUGAGGCGCGAAAGCGUGGGGAGCGAACAGG